UGGGGUGUGGCUCUGUGGCUGAGCACUUGCCUGGCAUUAGCUAGGCUCUGGGUUCAAGCCCCAGCACCAG
rnacentral:tRNA from 1 species